rnacentral:rRNA from 2 species
UACGAACUGUGCAAACGUUAUUCGGAAUCACUGGGCUUAAAGGGUGCGUAGGCGGCUUGUCAAGUAGGGUGUGAAAGCCCCCGGCUUAACCGGGGAAUUGCGCCCUAAACUGACGAGCUGGAGUGGGACAGGGGUGUGUGGAACUUCCGGUGGAGCGGUGAAAUGUGUUGAUAUCGGAAGGAACGCCGGUGGCGAAAGCGACACACUGGGUCUCAACUGACGCUGAGGCACGAAAGCCAGGGGAGCGAACGGG